rnacentral:lncRNA from 1 species
AGAAUCAACUAGUACUUUAAAAAAUAGCCUAGGCGCAAGAUCCCCCUCCCCUCUUUUUCAAAAUACUUCAUAUAUGAAACCAAUGAAUACGAUAAGGAAGAAGUAGCUUCAACUUUGAGAAGACAUUUCGUGCAGGCCUAGUAACUAUGAACUAGCUAUGUCAUUCUUAUGAAUGUGUGUGUACCAACUCACAAUCAAGCUCGAUUGGACGAGUAAAAUAGAUGUGGUGGUGGUGUUUAAUGUCUCAUCUCGGCCUUAGGUUCUAGAACCUUAAGACAAUGUUUCUUAGCUUACUGCGAAGUUCAAGACCUUAUGCACCAUGUUUGGCUGCAUCAAUUGUAUUCAUGAGAAUAUAGGUGGGCUGAAUCAAUAUUAGGCUAUGAGAGUAAAUGUACUCAAAGGAGAUGAGUGUUUUGAUAAUGAACAAGGUUCGGCCGUCUGAAUGCAGAACUACAAAUGCACCCAAGAGUAACCAAUCAUAUAAUACUUCACUUCGUUGACAGACUAAUAAAGUGACCUUUUGGGCAAAAGAAUUAAGAAUUCUUCUCUUAUCGAGAUUUGGAUAGAUAACCAACCAACCUAGAAGCAGUACUGUUGACUUAUCCAAAAAUAAGGUGCUCAUAUGUUGCUUGAUUCUACAACGUCAGUGUCGUUUACUUAUCAAAACUAAAGGUAUUGCUGGUUGUCAACAAAAUGUUGUUUACUUAUCCAAAUUGUAGAUGUCUUGAUAGGAAGGUUAGAAUAGUUAGUGUUUUUCUCAUGGUAUGAUAAGGGUUUCCCGUAGAACGUGGGUUUUUGCAUAGAUCGUUUGAGUUGUUUGUUAGGUUGAAUGGUGCUUUUCAUGUUGUUG